ensembl:snRNA U6 U6 spliceosomal RNA
GAGCUUGUUUCAGCAGCACAUAUGCUAAAAUUAGAAUGAUACAGAGUUUAGCAUGGCCCCUGUGCAAGAAGAAAAUAAAAUACACAAAAAACACAAUUUUUUU